rnacentral:rRNA from 1 species
GAAACUCACGGGGGCGCGUGCUAAGACCUGCACCGGUGGCGACGCCGUGCUGCGGUCUGGCUUGCGUCCUCUUCCAAACCCAAACACCUGUGAACCUUUGGGAUGGCGCGCUGUAACGGCCGUCGUCCCGUUUACACCAACUCUGAUGUCUAUUUGAAUGUGACUCGGGGCCUCCCCGAUUUAAACUUAAAACAACUUUCAACAACGGAUCUCUUGGCUCUCGCAUCGAUGAAGAACGCAGCGAAAUGCGAUAAGUAAUGUGAAUUGCAGAAUUCAGUGAAUCAUCGAAUCUUUGAACGCACCUUGCGCUCCUUGGUAUUCCGAGGAGCAUGCCUGUUUGAGUGUCUUGAAAUCAUCAAACCCCUCUGGUUUCUGCUGGAGCGGGUUUGGACUUGGGGGUUUUGCUGCCUCUGGCGGCUCCCCUUAAAUGAAUCGGUCGGGCUUUCGUGUGGCUUGUCCCUUGGCGUUGUAUCAACCUCGUCGCUGGAUGGCUCGCGAGCUUAGCGCCCCUCCAAGACCAGCCUCUGGAGUGGCGGUCAACUUCAAUUUGUGAUCUGACCUCAAAUCAGGUAGGACUACCCGCUGAACUUAAGCAUAUA